AAAUUCCUAUCUGUGGUUUGUAGAGAGAGGUUUAUAAUAGUGGUCUAGACAUAGGGAGUAUGAUGGUUUAUUUUUAUUGGCAACCUUUCUGGAUUUGGAAACACCUAGGGAACAUGCAUCUAGGUAUAUUAUUGAGGGUGUUUCUAGAAGAUUUAACCAUUUUGAAUGUGGUAGAACCAUCCCAUGGGCUGAAUAACAUUUUAGACUUAUAAAAAAGGGGGGGGGAAGCCUUCUCUGCUUCCUCAUCAUCUAGAGACAUUCCAGGUUGUCAAGCUGUGAGCUGCUCCUGUUGCCAAGUCUUCCUUGCUGUGGUGGUCUACUCUAUCCCCUGGACUGUGAACCCAAACACACUGUUCUCCUUAAAUUGCUUUUUGGUUAGGUGUUUUACUGCCAUGAUGACAAAGUAACCAAAUACUAAGGCUUAUCACGGGAUUAAAAAUUGCGUUAAAUGAUUUAUCUUAUUUCGUUAAAUUUCCAGGUGCAAGGUUUCUUUAUUUGCAAGGUUUUAACUCAGAAAAUCCAUUAAAAAAGGAUUCCCCUUACACGUGAUAUUUUAAACCUUCGAAAGCUCAGCCAUGAACCUCUAGUUGUAAAGAUGUAUAUCCUAUUUUUCCUGGUGUCCCUGCAUAGACAGUCCAGCCUCAUCAGGCAAUGACAUCAUUUCUAGUUUAUCGUGCUAGACUUACCCUGACUUAAGGAUCCUGCCUAGGAAACCAAAGGAUAAAGCUACCUGUUGUCAAAGUCGUAGCUACAUGCAGCUACAGAAUGUUAGAGGCUCUCAAAGAUGAUGUAAUCUUGACUUUCUUGUAUCUUAGCAGAAUAAAUUAAGCAUUGACUUCAGCAAGGUCAGCCCAGCCCAGCUGGAUGUUGAAUCCACGUGGCCUGUGUUCCAGGUGCCUGCCUUCCCCAGGUGUUCUCAGAGCAAGACGAAGGAAUGUCUCUAUACAGCCGUGGAAAUGACGGGCGAGAGGAAGUCAGUUCUGAAGACAUUGCAUGUGACAUUUACCAUCCCUGAGAAUUCAGGUUUACAAGCUUCCCCACGUUCAGGCGGCCGUUAAACUCUCUAAUUGCUCAUUUAUUGGAUGGUAUAAAAACCAGUCCCCACAGAUACAGACUGACAGAAACUAUCAUUCACAUACAGUAAGCCUGUGGUGAAGGAAGCAAAUUAUUUGACAGUUCCCGUGAUCAAAGUGUUGGAUAGAGCUCAUGUUCCCAGACGACCGCAGACCACUUGUUUGACGUAUUGCUGGAUCUUGUGAGAGAUGGGCACACUUGUGGGGAGUUGAGAAAGAAGUGAUGAGAGAAGGACACUCCCAAGGAAGAGACUGCACCCCUGUGACUGGAAAGGACAUCAGCUAUAUGCUUCCAAUUCCUGCAAUGUAACGAUAGCCCCUGCCCAUGCGUCUCCAGACCUCAUUGUGUUUCCCUGGCAGUGGGAGAGCUUUCUUUAUCUGCCCAGAGAGACCCAUUUCAGUUCAGCUCUGGAGAUGCUCUAAGUUGUGGGAAACACUUGAGAUAAUAUGUGGUGACGCCCAAAAGAAACACUCACUCAGACACUUCGAAAUAUUUUUUUCUUACAAAACACUUUUAAUUGAUUUUUUAUUGACCAACCAAUUUGAGGGAUGCUAAUACUCCCAGUUGGUGAACUAUAUUUCCUCCCAUGACAUUCUCAAUGUUUUAUUUGCAAUAAAAAGCUUUUUGAAUCACACAGGAAAAUUAGUGCUUUCUUGUAGAAUCAAGUCAACAACCUAUUUGUUUUCCAUUAGCCUCAAGCUGCUCUCAAAAUCACAGGGUUCUCUUGUGCUAAUUAUAUGAAAGGGACCAUCAGUCUGUUAUCCAGCCACAUGUGUAAUAGUUCAGGGCUUGCUUGACCAGAGCUGGUCAAUGUUGCUAGUUUAAAUAAUCUGUGUCCUUGCUGGCUCUCAGGCCUGACUUUACCGAAGAGAAAAUGUUCCACACCAGGGAUGGAGACUCUCUGCAGUGAUCCAGUUUUCUCCUGGUAUCUGGGGUUGAUCAUUCACUGUGUUGCUUGUUGCUAGCGUG
rnacentral:lncRNA from 1 species